GCCGCCGCACCUCACCCUCACCUCUUCUAUUCCCCCAAGUCGCACCCCCAAAUCAGGCAGCCUUACACCCCUGAUCCCAUCCGCUGCCGACCAACCUUCGCCGCUCCUGACCUCAGCGGCAGUCGAUAACCCUCCACCGUCCCCGACCCUAGCCUCACCCUUCGCCGUCCCUGACCUCUACCGCACCCGGCUUCCUUCCCGACCACCUUGGCGGGCUAGGGUUUGACACCGCCGGCCCUCCUGGUCGUCCUCCGGUUGGUCGCUAGAGGAAACGGCUUCCACCCUCCUUCCAAAGCCUGUGAGCACGGAUGUGGCUCCUCCCACCAUUCCUUCCCCUCUCCUGCUUGGAGCCGCCUGUGACAACGGAUCUGGCUCUCCUCCACCAGCGGCGGAUGGGAUGGCGCGGAUCCACCUCUUCUCCACAAGCACCGGCUGAGACGACGUGGAUUCGCAUCUCCCCCUCCCUCCUUGCCAUGGCCGCCUUUAUCCGUUGCGCCCCCGCCUUGCAGCUCCGCUUCUGGACGGAGAUUUGGAGGAGUACCCGCCGCUCACGGUGGCUUCAAGCCUUGUUCCCAACUGGCCCUAGAGGCACACUGUUAUGGCUCAUUUAUAUACGGGGGUAGGGGGGCUUCAAGCCUUGUUCCCAACCCGCCGCUCACGGUGGCUUCAAGCCUUCUUCACUAAGGGUGCAAGCUUGACUGAUUCAACGGUCUGCCUUGGUGUGAUGGCUCCCCGUCAACAAUCAGGUUGACGAUGGCCUAUGCUAGCUUCAGUUUCUUACCCUGUUCCAGUCUGCUGGAAGUGUCUCUGCUGCCUCCCCAAGAUGCUGGAAGGUCACCUCCAUCGAUGCUCUCUCCGCCGCUUCCAUAAGCCGCCAGACUGUACAGUUCUGCAAGGAAAAAGAAUGGAAAAGGAAUAGAAGAAGACAAUGCUGAAGCACAAGAGCAAGAGAGGCUAGCUAUACUUAAAGCAAGGAAUAGUGAUGAUUUUGAACGAUUUGGGUCCUUCACAUUCUCAAAUCUAAAAGAAGAUUUUGGAGGACGAGCCAGUCAGCGACAAAAUAAAAGAAAGAAGGUUUCUCAAAGAUUGACAAGUUAAUGGAGGUUUGGGAGAUCUGCAGGUUGACGAAGAUUAUGAACGCCUACAAUUAAGUCAGUGUAGUGACAAUGGAAUAUGCCUUGUUUGUUGAACCCGGAGACUUGCUCUGCUCAUUUUGGUGGUUGUUAAGUCAAUGUAUGCUCAUGUUGGUUGUGUGGUGCAUCAAGAAACAAAUGUGUUUCUCCUUUUUUGGCACAACUUCGGCUUGGUUGUGUGGCACAUCUAAAAACAAAUAUAAGCACUUCUUUUGUGGCACAACGUCUUUGUAUAUGAUUGCUAUGAUUAUUGAGUGAAGUUCAAUACUUAUGACGAGGCCUU
rnacentral:rRNA from 1 species